UAGUCAUAUGCUUGUCUCAAAGAUUAAGCCAUGCAUGUCUCAGUGUAAACUUAUAAACAGUGAAACUGCGAAUGGCUCAUUAAAACAGUUAUAGUUUAUUUGAUGUUCAUUGCUACAUGGAUAACCGUGGGAAUUCUAGGGCUAAUACAUGCGUAAAUACCCGACUUCUGGAAGGGUAGUGUUUAUUAGAUUAAAAGCCAUCUCCGUGCUUGCACGGGCCUGUUGGAAUGAUAAUAACCGAUCGAAUCGCUUACCUUUUGGUGCGAUAAAUCAUUCAA
rnacentral:rRNA from 1 species